CCUACGGGUGGCAGCAGUGGGGGAUAUUGCACAAUGGGGGGAACCCUGAUGCAGCGACGCCGCGUGGGUGAAGAAGCGCCUCGGCGCGUAAAGCCCUGUCAGCAGGGAAGAAAAUGACGGUACCUGAAGAAGAAGCCCCGGCUAACUACGUGCCAGCAGCCGCGGUAAUACGUAGGGGGCAAGCGUUAUCCGGAUUUACUGGGUGUAAAGGGGGCGUAGACGGUGUGGCAAGUCUGAAGUGACAGCCCGGGGCUCAACCCCGGGACUGCUUUGGAAACUGUCAUGCUGGAGUGCUGGGGAGGUAAGCGGAAGUCCUAGUGUAGCGGUGAAAUGCGUAGAUAUUAGGAGGAACACCAGUGGCGAGGGCGGCUUACUGGACAGUAACUGACGUUGAGGCUCGAAGGCGUGGGGAGCAAACAGGAUUAGAUACCCAGUAGUC
rnacentral:rRNA from 1 species